UACGUAGGGUGCAAGCGUUAAUCGGAAUUACUGGGCGUAAAGCGUGCGCAGGCGGUUAUGCAAGACAGAUGUGAAAUCCCCGGGCUUAACCUGGGAACUGCAUUUGUGACUGUAUAGCUGGAGUACGGUAGAGGGGGAUGGAAUUCCGCGUGUAGCAGUGAAAUGCGUAGAUAUGCGGAGGAACACCGAUGGCGAAGGCAGUCCCCUGGACCUGUACUGACGCUCAUGCACGAAAGCGUGGGGAGCAAACAGG
rnacentral:rRNA from 1 species